AAACAGGUGUGACGCAGAAAGGUAGCCGAACCGGGUGAUUGGUUGAAUCCGGGCAAGGAUGUAGGGUGAGUGAUAGGCAAAUCCGUCACUCGUGAAGCCUGAGAUCUGACGCGGAACUCACGUAUGUGAGGUAGUCGGUGAUCCUCUGCUGCCAAGAAAAGCAUCGACGCGAGGUUUUAGUCGCCCGUACCCCAAACCGACACAGGUGAUCAGGUAGAGAAUACCAAGGAGAUCGAGAGAAUCGUGGUUAAGGAACUCGGCAAAAUGCCCCCGUAACUUCGGGAGAAGGGGGGCCUGAGGCGUAUAGGGAUUUACUCCUGAAAGCGCAUUGAUGGCCGCAGAGACCAGUGGGAAGCGACUGUUUAUCAAAAACACAGGUCCGUGCGAAGUCGCAAGACGAUGUAUACGGACUGACGCCUGCCCGGUGCUGGAAGGUUAAGAGGAAGGGUUAGCUUCGGCGAAGCUCUGAAUUUAAGCCCCAGUAAACGGCGGUGGUAACUAUAACCAUCCUAAGGUAGCGAAAUUCCUUGUCGGGUAAGUUCCGACCUGCACGAAUGGCGUAACGACUUCCCAGCUGUCUCAACCGCGAACUCGGCGAAAUUGCAUUACGAGUAAAGAUGCUCGUUACGCGCAGCAGGACGAAAAGACCCCGUGACCUUUACUACAGCUUGGUAUUGGUGUUCGGUGUGGCUUGUGUAGGAUAGGUGGGAGACUGAGAAGCGGGCACGCUAGUGUUCGUGGAGUCGUUGUUGAAAUACCACUCUGGUCAUUCUGGAUAUCUAACUUCGAACCGUAAUCCGGUUCAGGGACAGUGCCUGGUGGGUAGUUUAACUGGGGCGGUUGCCUCCUAAAGAGUAACGGAGGCGCCCAAAGGUUCCCUCAACCUGGUUGGCAAUCAGGUGGCGAGUGUAAGUGCACAAGGGAGCUUGACUGUGAGACUGACAAGUCGAGCAGGGACGAAAGUCGGGACUAGUGAUCCGGCAGUGGCUUGUGGAAGCGCUGUCGCUCAACGGAUAAAAGGUACCUCGGGGAUAACAGGCUGAUCUUGCCCAAGAGUCCAUAUCGACGGCAUGGUUUGGCACCUCGAUGUCGGCUCGUCGCAUCCUGGGGCUGGAGUAGGUCCCAAGGGUUGGGCUGUUCGCCCAUUAAAGCGGCACGCGAGCUGGGUUCAGAACGUCGUGAGACAGUUCGGUCUCUAUCCGCUGCGCGCGUAGGAAAUUUGAGAAGAUCUAUCUUUAGUACGAGAGGACCGAGAUGGACGAACCUCUGGUGUGUCAGUUGUUCCGCCAGGAGCACCGCUGAUUGGCUACGUUCGGAACGGAUAACCGCUGAAAGCAUCUAAGCGGGAAGCCGGCUUCAAGAUGAGAUUUCCAUCCCUUCGGGGGAGAAGCUCCCAGUAGACGACUGGGUUGAUAGGCCGGAUGUGGAAGCACAGAAAUGUGUGGAGCUGACCGGUACUAAU
rnacentral:rRNA from 1 species